CGCUAUUCUCACACCAUCCCUUUCCCUCUUCGCUAUUCUGCACCAUCUACACUCUAAUCCUCUGUUUAACUUUAAACCUUUACUCUCCCCUGUUUACUCUCCUAUGAUCCUCUGUUUUAGCCGUUAAAAUUCGAAGGCAAUGGCGGCCUCUUCGAGAGGAAGAGGCGAGCUUUCGAAGCAGUGGAAGAAGCGAGAGACGAAUCCGGGGAUAACGAAGGUCUGGUCGGAGCCCGAGCCGAAGCCCAGGACAUCGAGGAGGAAAGUGUCGGUGGUCUACUACCUCGCCAGAGACGGCCAUUUUGAGCACCCUCACUUCAUGGAAGUCCCACUCUCGUCCAUCGAAGGGCUCUAUCUCAGAGAUGUCAUCCAUCGUCUCGAUGUUCUGAGAGGAAAAGGGAUGGCUGCCAUGUACUCGUGGUCUUCCAAAAGGAGCUAUAAGAACGGAUUUGUGUGGCACGAUCUGUCCGAAGACGAUUUCAUCUACCCGGUUCAUGGCCAAGAGUACAUUCUCAAAGGAUCGGAGCUCCCCCACCUGGGCAACAACCCUUCUAACUCUCAAGAAUCCCUCGCUACCUCUUCUUCCACCUACGAGAAGCUUCCCAAAAUCCCUAAUUCCGUCCGGGACGAUUCCAAUUUCCCCGUUUCAAGAAGAAAGAAGACGUCUUGGAGCUCUAUCGAUCUCAACGAGACCCCGGAAUACAAAAGCGCACCGAAACCGGCUCCUGCCGUCACAUUCUCCGACGCCUCGAUCCAGACCGACGACCUGCGACACCGGUGGCGAGUUCCCAUCAGAGAAGAAAGGCGAGAGAAGAUUCCGAAUCUCGAAGCGCUGGAUCUCGACAUUGACGAGAUCUCGCCUCCGCCGUCUCCCUCCAGCCCUGAGACGCUGGAAGCGCUGAUCAAAGCCGACGGCCGCAUCGUGGCGAUACGCCCGGAUUAUCGGCAUCGGACGGUGGGCGACUGCUCGAACGGGAGGGUGAGGGCGUCAUCCGUGCUGAUGCAUCUGAUCUCGUGCGGCUCGAUCUCGGUGAAGGAGACGGGGAUCUCGCUGGUGUCGCAGUACAGGGGAAGACUACCGCGAGUGAAGACCGAACAGGGGACGAAGGAGAUUGAGGCGGGUUCUGGGGGGAUGCCUACUAGUAUUUGGGCAACUGGAUUGGAGGAUAUGGAGUAUUUUAGUGGGAGUUUGAUCGAAACCAGGAAGCUGGGGAGUGACGAUGUUGGAGAAUUCCCAAGCUUGAAGCGGUCGUCUUCGUAUAAUGCUGCUAGUUUCUUUCCUAAAAAUUGUGAACAGGAGCUUAAGAAUGGAACUGAGCAAGGAAAUUGAGGACGACCACCAUGCUAGAGGCAUGCGCAGAAAAUCCAACACAAGGAAAGGAGGGAAAUUUCCCAUCACACGCAGUACAUGCAGGAGCAUAAGGAUCAAUGAUUAACCACCCUAGAACUAGAAUUGGAGAUCUCAGAACGGAAGCAAAACAAGAGGUCAGAUUGUAUACACAUAGCAAAGCUGAGGAUGAUGCCUGUGACACUCGAACCCCUGCUUUAGCUCAGGAAAGCACCUCGGAGAGCAUGACUUGUAGUUGUUUUAACCAGAGAUUGUGUGAAAGAAAAAGAAACAGCAUGUGUAUAAAUGAGGUUUAUGUUUCCCGAAUGGUAUUCUAUAGUUUCUGCC